AUUGAACGCUGGCGGCAUGCCUUACACAUGCAAGUCGAACGGUAACAGGUUAAGCUGACGAGUGGCGAACGGGUGAGUAAUGUAUCGGAACGUGCCCAGUCGUGGGGGAUAACUGCUCGAAAGAGCAGCUAAUACCGCAUACGACCUGAGGGUGAAAGCGGGGGAUCGCAAGACCUCGCGCGAUUGGAGCGGCCGAUAUCAGAUUAGGUAGUUGGUGGGGUAAAGGCCUACCAAGCCUACGAUCUGUAGCUGGUCUGAGAGGACGACCAGCCACACUGGGACUGAGACACGGCCCAGACUCCUACGGGAGGCAGCAGUGGGGAAUUUUGGACAAUGGACGCAAGUCUGAUCCAGCCAUGCCGCGUGCGGGAAGAAGGCCUUCGGGUUGUGAACCGCUUUUGUCAGGGAAGAAAAGGUUCUGGUUAAUACCUGGGACUCAUGACGGUACCUGAAGAAUAAGCACCGGCUAACUACGUGCCAGCAGCCGCCGUAAGAC
rnacentral:rRNA from 1 species